AUGCGUUGUUGGGUAGGGGAGCGUUCUGUAAGCCUGUGAAGGUGUGCUGUGAGGCAUGCUGGAGGUAUCAGAAGUGCGAAUGCUGACAUAAGUAACGAUAAAGCGGGUGAAAAGCCCGCUCGCCGGAAGACCAAGGGUUCCUGUCCAACGUUAAUCGGGGCAGGGUGAGUCGACCCCUAAGGCGAGGCCGAAAGGCGUAGUCGAUGGGAAACAGGUUAAUAUUCCUGUACUUGGUGUUACUGCGAAGGGGGGACGGAGAAGGCUAUGUUGGCCGGGCGACGGUUGUCCCGGUUUAAGCGUGUAGGCUGGUUUUCCAGGCAAAUCCGGAAAACUAAGGCUGAGGCGUGAUGACGAGGCACUACGGUGCUGAAGCAACAAAUGCCCUGCUUCCAGGAAAAGCCUCUAAGCAUCAGGUAACAUCAAAUCGUACCCCAAACCGACACAGGUGGUCAGGUAGAGAAUACCAAGGCGCUUGAGAGAACUCGGGUGAAGGAACUAGGCAAAAUGGUGCCGUAACUUCGGGAGAAGGCACGCUGAUAUGUAGGUGAAGUCCCUCGCGGAUGGAGCUGAAAUCAGUCGAAGAUACCAGCUGGCUGCAACUGUUUAUUAAAAACACAGCACUGUGCAAACACGAAAGUGGACGUAUACGGUGUGACGCCUGCCCGGUGCCGGAAGGUUAAUUGAUGGGGUUAGCGCAAGCGAAGCUCUUGAUCGAAGCCCCGGUAAACGGCGGCCGUAACUAUAACGGUCCUAAGGUAGCGAAAUUCCUUGUCGGGUAAGUUCCGACCUGCACGAAUGGCGUAAUGAUGGCCAGGCUGUCUCCACCCGAGACUCAGUGAAAUUGAACUCGCUGUGAAGAUGCAGUGUACCCGCGGCAAGACGGAAAGACCCCGUGAACCUUUACUAUAGCUUGACACUGAACAUUGAGCCUUGAUGUGUAGGAUAGGUGGGAGGCUUUGAAGUGUGGACGCCAGUCUGCAUGGAGCCGACCUUGAAAUACCACCCUUUAAUGUUUGAUGUUCUAACGUUGACCCGUAAUCCGGGUUGCGGACAGUGUCUGGUGGGUAGUUUGACUGGGGCGGUCUCCUCCUAAAGAGUAACGGAGGAGCACGAAGGUUGGCUAAUCCUGGUCGGACAUCAGGAGGUUAGUGCAAUGGCAUAAGCCAGCUUGACUGCGAGCGUGACGGCGCGAGCAGGUGCGAAAGCAGGUCAUAGUGAUCCGGUGGUUCUGAAUGGAAGGGCCAUCGCUCAACGGAUAAAAGGUACUCCGGGGAUAACAGGCUGAUACCGCCCAAGAGUUCAUAUCGACGGCGGUGUUUGGCACCUCGAUGUCGGCUCAUCACAUCCUGGGGCUGAAGUAGGUCCCAAGGGUAUGGCUGUUCGCCAUUUAAAGUGGUACGCGAGCUGGGUUUAGAACGUCGUGAGACAGUUCGGUCCCUAUCUGCCGUGGGCGCUGGAGAACUGAGGGGGGCUGCUCCUAGUACGAGAGGACCGGAGUGGACGCAUCACUGGUGUUCGGGUUGUCAUGCCAAUGGCACUGCCCGGUAGCUAAAUGCGGAAGAGAUAAGUGCUGAAAGCAUCUAAGCACGAAACUUGCCCCGAGAUGAGUUCUCCCUGACUCCUUGAGAGUCCUGAAGGAACGUUGAAGACGACGACGUUGAUAGGCCGGGUGUGUAAGCGCAGCGAUGCGUUGAGCUAACCGGUACUAAUGAACCGUGAG
rnacentral:rRNA from 1 species